ACUGGUUGGUAAGGUAACGGCUUACCAAGGCUAUGAUGUUUAGGGGUCCUGAGAGGGUGGUCCCCCACACUGGUACUGAGACACGGACCAGACUCCUACGGGAGGCAGCAGUGAGGAAUAUUGGUCAAUGGGCGCAAGCCUGAACCAGCCAUCCCGCGUGCAGGAAGACGGCCCUAUGGGUUGUAAACUGCUUUUCCAGGGAGAGAAACUUACGCACGUGUUGCGUGACUGACGGUACCCUGGGAAUAAGCAUCGGCUAACUCCGUGCCAGCAGCCGCGGUAAUACGGAGGAUGCAAGCGUUAUCCGGAUUCAUUGGGUUUAAAGGGUGCGUAGGCGGGCUAUUAAGUCAGUGGUGAAAUCCUGCAGCUUAACUGCAGAACUGCCGUUGAUACUGAUAGUCUUGAGUUUGGUUAAGGUAGGCGGAAUGUGUAAUGUAGCGGUGAAAUGCUUAGAUAUUACACAGAACACCAAUUGCGUAGGCAGCUUACUGAGCCGACACUGACGCUGAGGCACGAAAGCGUGGGGAUCAAACAGGAUUAGAUACCCUGGUAGUCCACGCCGUAAACGAUGAUUACUCGCUGUUGGCGAUACACUGUCAGCGGCUA
rnacentral:rRNA from 1 species